rnacentral:tRNA from 1 species
GGGCGGGUAGCUCAGGUGGUUAGAGCCGCACCCCUAAUAAGCGUGAGGUCGGUGGUUUGAGUCCACUUCGUGCCCA